GAUGAAGAACGUAGCGAAAUGCGAUAAGUAAUGUGAAUUGCAGAAUUCCGUGAAUCAUCGAAUCUUUGAACGCACAUUGCGCCCCCUGGUAUUCCGGGGGGCAUGCCUGUCCGAGCGUCAUUGCAACCCUCAAGCGCGGCUUGUGUGUUGGGCUUCGUCCCCCCCUGGACGUGCCCGAAAGGCAGUGGCGGCGUCCCGAAUGGUGCCCGAGCGUAUGGGAACUCUCUUCCGCUCGAACCGGCCCAUUCGGCGCUGGUCGAACCCCAAUUUUUUUUACCGGUUGACCUCGGAUCAGGUAAGGAUACCCGCUGAACUUAAGCAUAUCAAUAAGCGGAGGA
rnacentral:misc_RNA from 1 species